rnacentral:rRNA from 1 species
UACGUAGGGUGCGAGCGUUAAUCGGAAUUACUGGGCGUAAAGCGUGCGCAGGCGGUCUGUUAAGACCGAUGUGAAAUCCCCGGGCUUAACCUGGGAACUGCAUUGGUGACUGGCAGGCUUUGAGUGUGGCAGAGGGGGGUAGAAUUCCACGUGUAGCAGUGAAAUGCGUAGAGAUGUGGAGGAAUACCGAUGGCGUAGGCAGCCCCCUGGGCCAACACUGACGCUCAUGCACGAAAGCGUGGGGAGCAAACAGG